GACAGAGGGGGCAAGCGUUGCUCGGAAUCACUGGGCGUAAAGGGCGCGUAGGCGGGAUGGCAAGUCGGUCGUGAAAUCUCUCGGCUCAACCGAGAAACGUCGGCCGAUACUGCCGUUCUUGAGGGAUGCAGAGGAGACUGGAAUUCCCGGUGUAGCGGUGAAAUGUGUAGAGAUCGGGAGGAACACCGGUGGCGAAGGCGGGUCUCUGGGCAUUUCCUGACGCUGAGGCGCGAAAGUGUGGGGAGCAAACGGG
rnacentral:rRNA from 1 species